AGAAACCUAGGACAGAUCCUCCGGCUCUAGGUGGGUGGUCGUCUGUCUCGACCAGUUGGGGUGAGAGAGAGAGAGAGAGAGAGAGAGAGAGAGAGAGAGAGAGAGAGAGCGACAGACAGACAGACAGGUGCACAGCAACAACAGUAUUGGCAAUGGCAGUCAAGCAGGACCAUGGCAGGAGGCUCCACCAGGAUCCAUGAGAACCUGCGAGACGAGAAAGCACAAGAACUCCGGGGAAGAAGUGGAGUUAGUAACAUGCAUUAAAGGGACAUGAAUGAGUGCAGAAAGAGAGAGGAAGAGAGUAGCUCAGUGCACCAUGGGAAAUCCCCCGAUAGUCUAGGCCUAUAGCAGCAUAACUAAGGGAUGGUUCAGGACUCACCUGAUCCAGCCCUAACUAUAAGCUUUAUCAAAGAGGAAUGUCUUAAGCCUACUCUUGAAUGUGGUGAGGGUGUCUGCCUCCCGAACCACAACUGGAAGCUGGUUCCACAGGAGAGGAGCUUGGUAACUGAAGGCUCUGGCUCCUGUUCUACUUUUAGAGACUAUAGGAACCACAAGUAGCCCAGCAUUCAAUUCAAUUCAAUUCAAUUCAAUUUUAUUUGUAUAGCGCCAAUUCAUAACAGAAGUUAUCUCAGGACACUUUUCAAAUAGAGCAGGUCUAGACCGAACUCUUUAACAUUAAUUACAGAGACCCAACAGUACCACCAUGAGCAAGCACUUGGCGACAAGGGCAAGGAAAAACUGCCUGUUAAAAGGCAGAAACCUAGGACAGAUCCUCCGGCUCUAGGUGGGUGGUCGUCUGUCUCGACCAGUUGGGGUGAGAGAGAGAGAGAGAGAGAGAGAGAGCGACAGACAGACAGACAGACGCACAGCAACAACAGUAUUGGCAAUGGCAGUCAAGCAGGACCAUGGCAGGAGGCUCCACCAGGAUCCACGAGAACCUGCGAGACGAGAAAGCACAAGAACUCCGGGGAAGAAGUGGAGUUAGUAACAUGCAUUAAAGGGACAUGAAUGAGUGCAGAAAGAGAGAGGAAGAGAGUAGCUCAGUGCACCAUGGGAAAUCCCCCGAUAGUCUAGGCCUAUAGCAGCAUAACUAAGGGAUGGUUCAGGACUCACCUGAUCCAGCCCUAACUAUAAGCUUUAUCAAAGAGGAAUGUCUUAAGCCUACUCUUGAAUGUGGUGAGGGUGUCUGCCUCCCGAACCACAACUGGAAGCUGGUUCCACAGGAGAGGAGCUUGGUAACUGAAGGCUCUGGCUCCUGUUCUACUUUUAGAGACUAUAGGAACCACAAGUAGCCCAGCAUUCAGAGAACGUAGUGUUCUAGUGGGGUAAUAGGGUACUAUGAGCUCUUUAAGAUAUGAAGGGGCCUGACCAUGAAGAGCUUUAUAGGUGAGGAGGAGGAUUUUAAAUUCAAUUCUACAUUUUAUAGGGAGCCAAUGCAGAGUAGCUAGUACAGGAGAGAUGUGAUCUCUUUUUCUAGUUCCUGUCAGUACUCGUGCUGCAGCGUUCUGAAUUAAUUGGAGCGUUUUAAUGGACUUAUUGGGGCAACCUGAUAAUAAAGAGUUGCAGUAAUCCAGCCUUGAAGUAACAAAUGCAUGGAUUAGUUUUUCUGCAUCUGUCUGUGAUAGUAUGUGUCUAAUUUUUCUAAUAUUACGUAAAUGAAAGAAGGCAGUCCUAGAGGUCUGCUUUAUGUGGGAGUUAAAUGACAAAUCCUGAUCAAAGAUAACUCCAAGAUUCCUGACAGUGGUGCUAGAGGCCAAGUUAAUGCCAUCUAGAGUGACUAUAUCUUUAGACAAUGAGUCUCUAAGGUUUUUGGGGCCAAGAACAAGAAUUUCGGUUUUUUCUGAGUUUAACAUCAGAAAAUUGCAGGUCAUCCAGGAUUUUAUGUCCUUAAGACAUGUUUGUAAUUUAGAUAAUUGAUUAAUUUCAUUGGGUUUGAUUGAUAGAUAUAACUGCGUAUCAUCUGCAUAACAGUGAAAGUUAAUGGAGUGAUUCCUAAUAAUGUUGCCUAAAGGGAGCAUAUAUAAAGUAAAUAGUAUUGGUCCAAGUACAGAACCUUGUGGAACUCCAUGACUAACUUUAGUAUUUAUGGAGGAUUCAUCGUUAACAUGUACAAACUGAGAACGAUCUGAUAAGUAUGACUUAAACCAGGUUAGGGCAGUUCCUUUAAUGCCAAUUUGAUGCUCAAGUCUCUGUAAAAGAAUAUCAUGGUCAAUGGUGUCAAAUGCAGCACUAAGAUCUAAUAAUACAAGUACAGAGACAAGUCCAUUGUCAGAAGCAGUCAGAAGGUCAUUAUUAACUUUAACCAGAGCUGUCUCUGUGCUAUGAUGAACUCUAAAUCCUGACUGAAAAUCCUCAAAUAAACUAUUGUUAUGUAGAAAGUCACACAACUCUUUGGCGACUACUUUCUCCAGAAUCUUAGAGAGGAAGGGGAGGUUAGAAAUCGGUCUAUAGUUGGCUAAAACCCCUGGGUCAAGAGUGGACUUUUUAAGAAGGGGUUUAAUUACAGCUACUUUAAAGGACUGUGGUACAUAUCCUGAUAAUAAAGAAAGAUUAAUCAUAUCCAGUAAAGAAGUGCCAAUUAAGGGAACAACUUCUUUAAGCAGCCUAGUUGGGAUCGGGUCUAAUAGACAGGUUGAUGGCUUCGAUGAAGAAAUGAUUGAAGUUAACUGAUGAAGAUCGAUAGCAGAAAAACAGUCUAAAUAUACAUCUAAGUUUACAUUGACAGAAGUCCCUGAACUUGGAGAGCCACUGAUAACUGUUGAUGGCAGUUGGUGAUUAAUUUUUUCUCUAAUAGUAAUAAUUUUAUUAUAGAAGAAGCUCAUGAAGUCAUUGCUACUUAAGUUUAUGGGGAUAUGUGGCUCGAUAGAGCUGUGACUCUCUGUCAGCCUGGCUACAGUGCUGAAGAGGAACCUAGGGUUGUUCUUAUUUUCUUCUAUUAGUGCUGAGUAAUAGGCUCCUCUGGCAUUACGGAGGGCCUUUCUAUAAAUCUUAAGAUCAUCUUGCCAAUUUGAGCGAUAUUCUGAUAAUUUGGAAGAGCGCCAUUUCCUUUCAGAUUUCCUAGCUAUUUGCUUUAACUGGCGGGUUUGGUGGUUAUACCAAGGUGCUAGUCUCCUAUGUUUUAAUAAUUUCCUUUUUAUAGGAGCGAUAGAGUCUAAUGUUGAUCGUAGUGAGCCUGUAGCACUAUCGACAAGAUUAUCAAUUUCAGAGGGACUAAAGUUGUUAUAGGACUCUGUUAAAUUCAGACAUGGCAUUGAAUUAAACACUGAAGGAAUCUCCUCCUUAAAUUUAGCUACAGCACUGUCAGAUAGACAUCUGCUGUAGGAAGUUUUGCCUAAUGGCUUAUAAUCUAAUAGUAUGAAUUCAAAAGUUACUAAAUAAUGGUCAGAUAGGAAAGGAUUAUGUGGGAAGACUAUUAAAUGUUCAAAAUCAAUGCCAUAUGAUAAAACAAGGUCAAGAGUGUGAUUAAAACAAUGAGUUGGUUUAUUUACACUCUGACAGAAGCCAAUUGAGUCUAUUUCUAGAGUUACAUGUUGUUAUGAACACGUUAGGAAUUGUUCAAAUGUGAUAUUUCUGAUAGGGAGUUGGGUGGUUUUCUCUGGCUUAGAAAUAUUAUUAUCAUAUGUAUGAAUAUGUAUUUGUUUAUUUGUGUAAUUAAAAUUUGUAUGCUCCAACCACCUAGAAUUCUGAAGAAAAUACAAUAAAGAUAAAUUUCUUGUACAGCUUGGGGUACAAUGUAUUUUAUACACUGGAGAUCAAAAUUGAAGAACAAUUUAUGAACACAGAAAUAAUGUAAACUUCAUUGCUCAACAUUUAAAGGAUUUUUUGUUGUGGCUAUACCAUGCUACUAGAACAGUGUUUUAACGUCUAGCGUUAAUCUCGCGAUAAAAAAAUUGACGGCGUUAAAAUGGGUUUGCGUUAACGCCAGACAAGAAUAAACCACAAUGAUCCUUUAAACCUUCAGUGAAGGAACUCACCGCCUUAGUUUUUAGGUGUGUACAUUAUUUAUGCCAUGGUCUUCAUAUUGACUUGUGUUUUACAUUGUAUUGUGUCUAUUACAUUCACUUUGAACCUGGGCUGCAGGUUCGAAUGAAAGCUGCUGUAUACAAAGAAUUCUAGUUGUCUGAUAUGAUGAUAAAACAUAUUUCUUAUUAUUUGAACAAACUUUAUGAAGAUGUUGCAGAUUUAACUCUCCAACAACAUCAUUGUUAUAUAUGCCAGACAACAUACAUUCAACAGUAGGGUUAUUAUGGUAUGGAUGGAGGCGAAGGUACUGAACAUAAACAUAAAAUGUCAGAUAUAUUUAUAUAAAUAUAAAACAUUCACAUUUCAUAAUGAACAUACAAAUACAGUUUCUCCGUCAGUGGCUCACUUUAUCCACAGGUUGUAACAGGGAAAUAUUACUGGGUGUUUGUGUCUCUGCCAUCACUGCUGCUGUCGCUGCUUUCUGCUCUUUAACUGCACACAGACACACACACACAGUUCAGAGAGGACUGGGAACUGUCAGUGAUCAACAGAAUAAAGGUGACCUGAUGAAGCUCAGGUGUUCCUGGACCCAUCAGAGGACAGAGACAGCUGCAGCAUCAGGACAGUCUGGGUAUCCAAAGGAAGACUGAUGAAGAUGAACACUGACUGCAGAGCUCCAUUACCAGCUCACACUUCAAUAUACUAGAAACCAUAAACCUUGAUGGAGGACAUGAUCUGCACAGUUUACAUAAAAGUUCUAGCUUUGUUACUUACAACAUAUGUAACUGGAAUAUGA